GUAUAAGAGACAGCAGUAGCCACGGUAAUACAGAGGGUGCGAGCGUUAAUCGGAUUUACUGGGCGUAAAGCGUGCGUAGGCGGCUUUUUAAGUCGGAUGUGAAAUCCCUGAGCUUAACUUAGGAAUUGCAUUCGAUACUGGGAAGCUAGAGUAUGGGAGAGGACGGUAGAAUUCCAGGUGUAGCGGUGAAAUGCGUAGAGAUCUGGAGGAAUACCGAUGGCGAAGGCAGCCAUCUGGCCUAAUACUGACGCUGAGGUACGAAAGCAUGGGGAGCAAACAGGAUUAGAUACCCCAGUAGUCCCUGUCUCUUAUAC
rnacentral:rRNA from 1 species